UAUAAAUUUAAUUUAUAUUUGUUUUUAAUUUAAAAAUUUAUUGAUAAUAUAUAAAUUUUUGUUUAAUUUAAUUUUUAAAAAAAAUUUAAAUUUUUAGUAAUUAAAAUUAUUAAAAUAAAGGAAUUUAUAUUUUGUAAAAUUUUAUUAUGAUGAAUUAAUAAAGUGCCAGCAAUAGCGGUUAAACUUUACUAUAAAAAAUUAAAUAUAUUAAUUAAUUAAUUAAUUAAAUAUAUAAGUUAAAUAAAAUUUUUAUAAAAAAUUAAGGGUAAAAUUUUAUUUAUUUUUUAAAAAAAGUUUAUUUAAUUUAGAAAAAAUGAUUUUUGAGUAUUAUAAAUAUAAUAUAAUUAAUAAAGUUAAUUCAAUAAAGUAGGAUUAGAUACCCUAUUAUUUUAGUUUAAAUUAAAAUUUUAAUAAAGUAAAUUUUUUAAAGGAAAUAAAUAAAUUUGACGGUAUUUUAUUUUAUUCAGGGGAAUUUGUCUUGUAAAUUGAUAAACCACGAUAAGAAUUACUUAAAUUUUUUAUACUUAUGUAUAUUCAUUUAUAGAAUUUUUUAAAAGAAUUAAUUUUAUAAUUUUUAUAAAAAAAUAAUUUAGAUAAAUAUAUAGUUUAUGUUUAAGAGGAGGAUGAAUUACAAUAAAUUUGGUUUAUAAUAAAUUUUAUUUAAAGGGAAAUAUUUUAGGAUUUGAAUGUAAAUAUAAUUAAUUAAUUAUAUUGAUAUGUUAAAGUGUGAAAUAUGUACAAAUUGCCCGUCAAUUUAGUUAAUUUUUAAUUUAUAAUAAAUUAUUUUAAUUAUAAAUUAAGAAAAAAUUAAGUAAGUCGUAACAAAGUAAGGUUACUGGAAGGUGAUCUUAGAAUAAU
rnacentral:rRNA from 1 species